GGACUACUGGGGUUUCUAAUCCCGUUCGCUCCCCUGGCUUUCGUGCCUCAGCGUCAGUUGAGACCCAGUGUGUCGCUUUCGCCACCGGCGUUCCUUCCGAUAUCAACACAUUUCACCGCUCCACCGGAAGUUCCACACACCCCUAUCUCACUCCAGCCACACAGUUUAGGGCGCAGUUCCCCGGUUAAGCCGGGGGAUUUCACACCCUACUUACAUGGCCGCCUACGCACCCUUUAAGCCCAGUGAAUCCGAAUAACGUUUGCACAGUUCGUAUUACCGCGGCGGCUGGCAC
rnacentral:rRNA from 3 species